rnacentral:rRNA from 1 species
CCUACGGGGCGCAGCAGUGAGGAAUAUUGGUCAAUGGCCGAGAGGCUGAACCAGCCAAGUCGCGUGAGGGAUGACGGCCCUACGGGUUGUAAACCUCUUUUGUCGGGGAGCAAAGAGAGUCACGUGUGGCUCAUUGAGAGUACCCGAAGAAAAAGCAUCGGCUAACUCCGUGCCAGCAGCCGCGGUAAUACGGAGGAUGCGAGCGUUAUCCGGAUUUAUUGGGUUUAAAGGGUGCGUAGGCGGUCCGUUAAGUCAGCAGUAAAAUUGCGGGGCUCAACCCCGUCGAGCCGUUGAAACUGGCAGAC